rnacentral:rRNA from 1 species
GUGGGGAAUAUUGGACAAUGGGCGCAAGCCUGAUCCAGCCAUGCCGCGUGUGUGAAGAAGGCCUUUUGGUUGUAAAGCACUUUAAGUGGGGAGGAGGCUUACCUGGUUAAUACCUGGGCUAAGUGGACGUUACCCACAGAAUAAGCACCGGCUAACUCUGUGCCAGCAGCCGCGGUAAUACAGAGGGUGCGAGCGUUAAUCGGAUUUACUGGGCGUAAAGCGCGCGUAGGUGGUUAAUUAAGUCAAAUGUGAAAUCCCCGAGCUUAACUUGGGAAUUGCAUUCGAUACUGGUUGGCUAGAGUAUGGGAGAGGAUGGUAGAAUUCCAGGUGUAGCGGUGAAAUGCGUAGAGAUCUGGAGGAAUACCGAUGGCGAAGGCAGCCAUCUGGCCUAAUACUGACACUGAGGUGCGAAAGCAUGGGGAGCAAACAGGAUUAGAUACCCGUGUAGUCC